UAGUCCACGCCGUAAACGAUGGAUACUAGCUGUUUGGACUUCGGUCUGAGUGGCUAAGCGAAAGUGAUAAGUAUCCCACCUGGGGAGUACGUUCGCAAGAAUGAAACUCAAAGGAAUUGACGGGGGCCCGCACAAGCGGUGGAGCAUGUGGUUUAAUUCGAUGAUACGCGAGGAACCUUACCAGGGCUUAAAUGUAGAUUGACAGGUUUAGAGAUAGACUUUUCUUCGGACAAUUUACAAGGUGCUGCAUGGUUGUCGUCAGCUCGUGCCGUGAGGUGUCAGGUUAAGUCCUAUAACGAGCGCAACCCCUGUUGUUAGUUGCCAGCACAUUAAGGUGGGGACUCUAACAAGACUGCCGGUGCAAACCGCGAGGAAGGUGGGGAUGACGUCAAAUCAUCACGGCCCUUACGUCCUGGGCCACACACGUGCUACAAUGGUAGGGACAGCAAGCAGCCACGUCGCAAGGCGGAGCUAAUCUACAAACCCUAUCUCAGUUCGGAUCGGAGU
rnacentral:rRNA from 1 species